UAGGGAAUCUUCGGCAAUGGACGAAAGUCUGACCGAGCAACGCCGCGUGAGUGAAGAAGGUUUUCGGAUCGUAAAACUCUGUUGUUAGAGAAGAACAAGGACGUUAGUAACUGAACGUCCCCUGACGGUAUCUAACCAGUAAGCCACGGCUAACUACGUGCCAGCAGCCGCGGUAAUACGUAGGUGGCAAGCGUUGUCCGGAUUUAUUGGGCGUAAAGCGAGCGCAGGCGGUUUCUUAAGUCUGAUGUGAAAGCCCCCGGCUCAACCGGGGAGGGUCAUUGGAAACUGGGAGACUUGAGUGCAGAAGAGGAGAGUGGAAUUCCAUGUGUAGCGGUGAAAUGCGUAGAUAUAUGGAGGAACACCAGUGGCGAAGGCGGCUCUCUGGUCUGUAACUGACGCUGAGGCUCGAAAGCGUGGGGAGCAAACAGG
rnacentral:rRNA from 2 species